AGCAGCCGCGGUAAUUCCAGCUCCAAUAGCGUAUAUUAAAGUUGUUGCAGUUAAAAAGCUCGUAGUUGAAUUUCGGGAUUGACGUGAUGGUCGUGCCUUAAGGGGUAUGAACUGUCGCUGUUGAUUUCUCACCUUCUGGAGAAACUUGAUGUCCUUAAUUGGGUGUCUUGCGGAUCCAGGACCUUUACCUUGAAAAAUUAGAGUGUUUAAAGCAGGCAUUUUUGCUCGAAUACAUUAGCAUGGAAUAAUAGAAUAGGACGGCAUGGUUCUAUUUUGUUGGUUUCUAGGAUCACCGUAAUGAUUAAUAGGGAUAGUUGGGGGCAUUAGUAUUCAAUUGUCAGAGGUGAAAUUCUUGGAUUUAUUGAAGACUAACUACUGCGAAAGCAUUUGCCAAGGAUGUUUUCAUUAAUCAAGAACGAAAGUUAGGGGAUCGAAGACGAUCAGAUACCGUCGUAGUCUUAAACCAUAAACUAUGCCGACUAGGAAUCAGACGAUGUUAAUUUUUAAUGUACUCGUUUA
rnacentral:misc_RNA from 1 species